CCUACGGGAGGCAGCAGUGAGGAAUAUUGGUCAAUGGCCGAGAGGCUGAACCAGCCAAGUCGCGUGAGGGAAGACGGCCCUACGGGUUGUAAACCUCUUUUGUCGGGGAGCAAAGCGAUUCACGUGUGACCCCUUUAGAGUACCCGAAGAAAAAGCCUUGGCUAACUCCGGUCCAGCAGCCGCGGUAAUACGGAGGAUGCGGACGUUUUCCGGAUUUAUUUGGUUUAAAGGGUGCGCAGGCGGAGGUGCAAGUCAGUGGUCAAAUUGCGGGGCUCAACCCCGUACUGCCGUUGAAACUGGAGCCCUUGAGUGCGCGAGAAGUAUGCGGAAUGCGUGGUGUAGCGGUGAAAUGCAUAGAUAGCACGCAGAACUCCGAUUGCGAAGGCAGCAUACCGGCGCGCAACUGACGCUCAUGCACGAAAGCGUGGGUAUCGAACAGGAUUAGAUACCCUAGUAGUC
rnacentral:rRNA from 1 species